AGUGCUGUGCCUGAGUGGUCCAAAGGAGAUGAUUGCAAACCUGAAAAUCGUCGGUUCGAAUCCGACCAGCACCU
rnacentral:tRNA from 1 species